GACGAACGCUGGCGGCGUGCUUAACACAUGCAAGUCGAACGGAAAGGCCCUGCUUUUGUGGGGUGCUCGAGUGGCGAACGGGUGAGUAACACGUGAGUAACCUGCCCUUGACUUUGGGAUAACUUCAGGAAACUGGGGCUAAUACCGGAUAGGAGCUCCUGCUGCAUGGUGGGGGUUGGAAAGUUUCGGCGGUUGGGGAUGGACUCGCGGCUUAUCAGCUUGUUGGUGGGGUAGUGGCUUACCAAGGCUUUGACGGGUAGCCGGCCUGGGAGGGUGACCGGCCACAUUGGGACUGAGAUACGGCCCAGACUCCUACGGGAGGCAGCAGUGGGGAAUAUUGCACAAUGGGCGCAAGCCUGAUGCAGCAACGCCGCGUGCGGGAUGACGGCCUUCGGGUUGUAAACCGCUUUCGCCUGUGACGAAGCGUGAGUGACGGUAAUGGGUAAAGAAGCACCGGCUAACUACGUG
rnacentral:rRNA from 1 species